rnacentral:rRNA from 1 species
GAUGAACGCUGGCGGCGUGCCUAAUACAUGCAAGUCGAACGCUGGAAAUCUAGCUUGCUAGAUUGAAGGAGUGGCGAACGGGUGAGUAAUACAUAAGCAACCUACCCACGAAGACUGGGAUAAUCUCUGGAAACGGGGACUAAUACCGGAUAGGUAAUCGGAAGGCAUCUUCUGAUUAUUAAAGGUUAAAAACACUGGUGGAUGGGCUUAUGGCGCAUUAGUUAGUUGGUGAGGUAACGGCCCACCAAGACGAUGAUGCGUAGCCGGCCUGAGAGGGUGAACGGCCACAUUGGGACUGAAAAACGGCCAGAACUCCUACGGGGGGCAGCAGUGGGGAAUUUCCGGCAAGGGGGGAAACCCUGACCGAGCAACGCCGGGUGGGUGAGGACGGCCUUCGGGUUGUAAAGCUCUGUUGAAAGGGAAGAACGGUAGAUAGAGAAUAUCAAAAUGACGGGACCUUACCAAAAAGCCACGGCGAACUACGU